rnacentral:misc_RNA from 1 species
GAGUGCAGCUUCAUACAGGGCUGAUGAGUGGAAUGUUAAUAAAUGGGCAUGGGAGGGUAUAUUAAAGGUUUUAAGCAAGGGAGAAGAGUGCAUCAUCAAAUUGGAAGACAAGGAAACAGGUGAAUUGUAUGCGCGUGCAUUUCUCAGAGAUGGGGAACCACAUCCAGUGGAGGCUGUAAUUGAUAGUAGCAGAUACUUUGUUCUUCGGAUUGAAGAGAACAUUGGUGGACGCCUCAGACAUGCUUUUAUUGGGAUUGGAUUUCGAGAAAGACCUGAAGCCUAUGACUUCCAAGCUGCUCUUCACGACCAUCAGAAAUACCUGAACAAGAAGAAAACCGCAGAGGAGAUGGAGCAGCAAUACCAGAAAUCCUCAUCAGUCGACUACAGUUUGAAAGAGGGGGAAACCCUGAAACUUCAGAUAAAGAAUAAACCUGGUGGCACCAUAAGGUCCAAGUUCUUCGAGCAGGGUCUAAAUAAUCUAUCGUUGGAGGAAAAGGCCAACCGAAAGGAUUCAACAAUAUUACUCAAGCCACCACCACCUCCUCCUGCACCACUUUCACCUGUUGCUACUGAUGCAAGGUCUCCCCCAGUAUCACCGUCUAAACUGAGUCUCGAGCAAUCUGCUGAAACGAAGGACUCAGCAACAGCGAAAGAGGAGCCAGAUACAUCAGAAUCAGCUAAAGAGCAAGGUCCACAAGAUGUUGCAGAUGAUGACUUUGGAGAUUUUCAAGCAGCUGGAUGAUGUUUUGUUGGAAACUCAGUACAAUUGGAAAACUGAAGUUCAAAGUUCACACUAGAUACUGUUGUUGAAUGUCUUUGGUACAUAUGAUGUGUAUUAUAGUUUUCACUCCAUAUCUUUAUUGUCUUGCCUAUUCACCUACUUGCCUAAAGAAUCUUUCA